GAGUUUGAUCGUGGCUCAGGAUGAACGCUGGCGGCGUGCCUAACACAUGCAAGUCGAACGAAGCGUGCCGGAGGAAGUUUUCGGAUGGAAUCCGGGAUGACUGAGUGGCGGACGGGUGAGUAACGCGUGGGUAACCUGCCCUGUACAGGGGGACAACAGUUAGAAAUGACUGCUAAUACCGCAUAAGCGCACAGGAUCGCAUGGUCCGGUGUGAAAAACUCCGGUGGUACAGGAUGGACCCGCGUCUGAUUAGGUAGUUGGCGGGGUAACGGCCCACCAAGCCGACGAUCAGUAGCCGACCUGAGAGGGUGACCGGCCACAUUGGGACUGAGACACGGCCCAAACUCCUACGGGAGGCAGCAGCGGGGAAUAUUGCACAAUGGGGGGAACCCUGAUGCAGCGACGCCGCGUGAGUGAAGAAGUAUUUCGGUAUGUAAAGCUCUAUCAGCAGGGAAGAAAAUGACGGUACCUGACUAAGAAGCCCCGGCUAACUACGUGCCAGCCGCCGCCGUAAG
rnacentral:rRNA from 1 species